AUUGAACGCUGGCGGCAUGCCUUACACAUGCAAGUCGAACGGCAGCACGGGAGCAAUCCUGGUGGCGAGUGGCGAACGGGUGAGUAAUGUAUCGGAACGUACCUUUCAGUGGGGGAUAACGUAGCGAAAGUUACGCUAAUACCGCAUAUUCUGUGAGCAGGAAAGCAGGGGAUCGCAAGACCUUGCGCUGAUUGAGCGGCCGAUAUCAGAUUAGCUAGUUGGUGAGGUAAAGGCUCACCAAGGCGACGAUCUGUAGCGGGUCUGAGAGGAUGAUCCGCCACACUGGAACUGAGACACGGUCCAGACUCCUACGGGAGGCAGCAGUGGGGAAUUUUGGACAAUGGGCGCAAG
rnacentral:rRNA from 1 species